UACAGAGGUCCCGAGCGUUGUUCGGAUUCACUGGGCGUAAAGGGUGCGUAGGUGGUGAGGUAAGUUUGAUGUGAAAUCUCCGGGCUCAACCCGGAAAUGGCAUUGAAUACUAUCUUGCUAGAGGAGUGGAGGGGGGACUGGAAUACUUGGUGUAGCAGUGAAAUGCGUAGAUAUCAAGUGGAACACCAGUGGCGAAGGCGAGUCCCUGGACACUUCCUGACACUGAGGCACGAAAGCUAGGGGAGCAAACAGG
rnacentral:rRNA from 1 species